AGAUGAAGUUGAAAGGUGACAAAAAUGGGAGGAAGGGUCAGCUCUCAGUUGCCACUGAGGUAAUGAGUUAUUAUCCCAUGAUGUAUGCAAGAAUCAAGAUCCUUCUGACUUACAAAUGAAGUGUGAAAUAGGUUUUAAGGAAUGAAGAAUAGUUUUUCCAUAUUCAGUAAUUUUCGUUCAUAGAAAAAGAUGUUUGAUGUUGUUAUGGUAAUAUAUGUACACAUCAUGCUAUAGCUUUGCAUUGCAAUUUCAAAUUUUGACAACUUCAAGCCAUAGAGUUUUAUUUUUGAUAACCCCUUAUUUGCUCCUUUUAACAUGAUUUAAGAACAACACUUUUUUUUCUUUUUCUUUUCAAAGAUAGAACACACAUACACCCGGGUUAGUGACGGGCCGGGUGUAGUGAUAAGAAUGGACCAUCGUUAAAAUUAUGACAAUUUUAAUCAAUGUGGUAUUCCAAAGGACCAGCCUACUGGCAGAUAGAUUUGUCUCGGUUUUUUUACUACAGACUCACACGCACACAGGCUCUUCCUUAGGCUUUUUGUCUUUUUUUUUUUGUUGUAAAAAAUAAAACACACACAUUUAGGUUGGUGACGAGAAUGAACCGCUGUUAAAAGUAUGAUAAUUUUACUAGAAUCCUUUUUCCUAUGUAAUUCAUAUUCACACACACUUUAUAACCGAUGUGGGAUUUCAAAGUCCACUGGCAGAUGUUUUUUUUUUGUAAUAUGCUGCCAUUCUUUUCCACCUAACAUUUAGGUUCAAUGGGCCUGAUUAAAGAAUUGAAUCCUGACUAAUUGGGCUUGUCUUGAUAAAUUUUUUUACCUUAACAAUAUGUUGCUU
rnacentral:misc_RNA from 1 species